AUGUACCACUCGUACACUGCGGUUCCUGCGCGCCGUCCGCGCCCACCUGACGGCUGCUCGCCCGCAAUAUCCGCC
rnacentral:sRNA from 1 species